GUGUGCGUGUGUCUGCAGAGAGACACGCAGAGGAGCUCUGAUCUAAAGCUCUUUGGUUUAUCACACCCACGUAUAUGUGUGAAACCUAACACCAUAUUACAGCGCUGGCAACAAGCAGCAUUUUGUUGAUAA